AAUGCGUCGUUUAAUUAUCAACUAUCUACACGAGUUUCCCCCGCUAAAAUAAAGAUGGAUUCUGACAAAAGAAAAUGAGCUACCAGUACUAUGAUUCCCCCUUUCAUGUCCAGUACCUGUCCAUCAUACGCAGGGUCAUUCAUCAGAGGGUUCUACACUGAAAUGGAUCAGGAACCGAGACUUGUUAGUACAAACAAUUUACUAGCCAGGCAUAUUCCACUGGCCAAACGAAAAGGAUUCUCUAGAGCUUGUUUGGAAAACCUAAGAAUGGUGUUUCUCUGGAUGCAAAAAAAAACCAACUCAAAACAAUAACACUGUAAAUUGUAGUCUAUAAUACACAAUGUAUUAUUA